UAGAGUUUGAUCAUGGCUCAGAACGAACGCUGGCGGCAGGCCUAACACAUGCAAGUCGAGCGCCCUGCUUGCAGGGAGCGGCGGACGGGUGAGUAACGCGUGGGAACGUGCCCUUUAGUUCAGAAUAGCCACUGGAAACGGUGAGUAAUACUGGAUACGCCCUUCGGGGGAAAGAUUUAUCGCUAAAGGAUCGGCCCGCGUUGGAUUAGCUAGUUGGUGGGGUAAAGGCCUACCAAGGCGACGAUCUAUAGCUGGUCUGAGAGGAUGAUCAGCCACACUGGGACUGAGACACGGCCCAGACUCCUACGGGAGGCAGCAGUGGGGAAUAUUGGACAAUGGGGGCAACCCUGAUCCAGCCAUGCCGCGUGAGUGAAGAAGGCCCUAGGGUUGUAAAGCUCUUUCAGAUGUGAGGAUGAUGGCAGUAGCAUCAGAAGAAGCACCGGCUAACUUCGUGCCAGCAGCCGCGGUAAUACGAAGGGUGCUAGCGUUGUUCGGAAUUACUGGGCGUAAAGGGCGUGUAGGCGGAUGACCAAGCUAGGGGUGAAAGCCCAGGGCCCAACCCUGGAACUGCCUUUAGAACUGAUUGUCUAGAAUCCGUAAGGGGAGUGUGGAAUUCCUAGUGUAGAGGUGAAAUUCGUAGAUAUUAGGAAGAACACCAGUGGCGAA
rnacentral:rRNA from 1 species